GUGUUGUAUGGAAGGAGAGAUUAGCACUACCCUUGACAAGGAUGUAAGAGGCCCUCAGGCCUGACAAUGCACACAUGGUUAAGGCAUUACCACCUACUUCAGGCAUCUAUCAUUUUUAU
rnacentral:ncRNA from 1 species